rnacentral:tRNA from 1 species
GGUAGCAUGGCCGGAGCGGUCUAAGGGCGCUGGUUUAAGGCACCAGUCAUUUCGAUGGCCGUGGGUUCGAAUCCCCACUGCUGCCA